AUGCACAAAGCAUAUGACCGUGUGGAAUGGUGCUUUCUUAAAGGAAUUAUGUUGAGAAUGGGAUUUGAUGUGAGAUGGGUAGAACUAAUGAUGGCAUGUGUUAAAUCUGUUACAUAUUCAGUGAGAUUUAAUUCGCAGAUAACAGAAAGAUUUAUCCCAUCACGGGGGCUCCGACAGGGUGACCCACUUAGCCCAUAUUUAUUUUUUUGGUGGCAGAGGGUUUAUCAGCCUUAUUGUCGGAUGCUGAAGAAAGAGGAGCAAUCGAAGGGGUGA
rnacentral:rRNA from 1 species